rnacentral:rRNA from 1 species
AACGAACGCUGGCGGCGCGUUUUAAGCAUGCAAGUCGAACGGUAAUACGGCUUCGGUCGUAUGAGAGUGGCGAACGGGUGAGUAACACGUAGGUGAUCUACCUUGGGCACGGGGAUAGCCUGUGGAAACACAGAGUAAUACCGGAUACGCCUUAGUGUCUUUGGGUACUAAGGGAAAGGAGCUUAGGCUCCGGUCUGAGAUGAGCCUGCGGUCCAUUAGCUAGUUGGUGAGGUAAAGGCCCACCAAGGCGACGAUGGAUAGCCGGCCUGAGAGGGUGAACGGCCACACUGGGACUGAGACACGGCCCAGAUUCUUACGGGAGGCAGCAGCUAAGAAUCUUCCGCAAUGGGCGAAACCCUGACGGAGCGACGCCGCGUGAACGAAGAAGGCCGGAAGGUUGUAAAGUUCUUUUCUUGGGGAGGAAUAAGGAGGAGAGGGAAUGCUCCUCUGAUGACGGAA